GUGCCAGCAGCCGCGGUGAUACGUACUGUGCGAACGUUAUUCGGAAUUACUGGGCUUACAGGGUGUGUAGGCGGCCAAUUAAGUAGGGUGUGAAAGGCCUCGGCCUAACCGAGGCAUUGCGCUCUAAACUGUUUGGCUUGAGUGAGAUAGGGGUGUGCGGAACUUCCAGUGGAGCGGUGAAAUGUGUUGAUAUUGGAAGGAACGCCGGUGGCGAAAGCGGCACACUGGGUCUCAACUGACGCUGAGACACGAAAGCCAGGGGAGCGAACGGGAUUAGAUACCCCGGUAGUCCUGGCUGUAAACGAUGAGCACUAGUUGGGAGGGGCUUCGGCCCAUUCGAACGCAGCGAAAGCAUUAAGUGCUCCGCCUGGGGAGUAUGGUCGCAAGGCUGAA
rnacentral:rRNA from 1 species